rnacentral:rRNA from 1 species
UGGGGGAUAUUGCACAAUGGAGGAAACUCUGAUGCAGCAACGCCGCGUGAAGGACGAAGGUCUUCGGAUUGUAAACUUCUGUUCUUGGCCAAGAAUUUUGACGGUAGCCAAGCAGCAAGCUCCGGCUAACUACGUGCCAGCAGCCGCGGUAAUACGUAGGGAGCUAGCGUUGUCCGGAUUUACUGGGUGUAAAGGGUGUGUAGGCGGCUAAUCAAGUCAGGCGUGAAAUGUACAGGCUUAACCUGUAACCUGCGCUUGAAACUGCUUAGCUUGAGUGGAGUAGAGGCAGAUGGAAUUUCCGGUGUAGCGGUGAAAUGCGUAGAUAUCGGAAGGAACACCAGUGGCGAAGGCGAUCUGCUGGGCUCUAACUGACGCUGAGGCACGAAAGCAUGGGUAGCAAACAGG